rnacentral:lncRNA from 1 species
GGAUGUGAGGGCAAUCUGGUUGCAACAUCUGUCACCCCAUUGAUCGCCAGGGUUGAUUUGGCUGAUCUGGCUGGCUAGGCGGGUGUCCCCUUCCUCCCUCACCGCUCCAUGUGGGUCCCUCCGGAAGCUGCGCGCUUGGUCAAAGAGGACCACCAUCCCGAAUAGAGGAGGACCGGUCUUCGGUCAAGGAUAUAUGAGUAGCUGCUCUCCCCUGCUAGAACCUCCAAACAAGCUCUCAAGG